AGCAGUCGCCGCGGGAAAACGAAGGGGGCUAGCGUUGUUCGGAAUUACUGGGCGUAAAGCGCACGUAGGCGGAUAUUUAAGUCAGGGGUGAAAUCCCGCAGCUCAACUGCGGAACUGCCUUUGAUACUGGGUAUCUUGAGUAUGGAAGAGGUUAGUGGAAUUGCGAGUGUAGAGGUGAAAUUCGUAGAUAUUCGCAGGAACACCAGUGGCGAAGGCGGCUAACUGGUCCAUAACUGACGCUGAGGUGCGAAAGCGUGGGGAGCAAACAGGAUUAGAUACCCCAGUAGUCCCUGUCUCUUAUAC
rnacentral:rRNA from 1 species